UCAAUUAAAUGGAAAAUGAGGAAGCUAUAAAAACAGAGGCUUUCAGCAUUUACUGAAAUCCAAUCAUAUUGUGCAACUUAGCUGUCAUUUCUCCUUUUACAAAAUUUAGUAGUUUCAUAUUGCCAACCUCUUGGUAUUCUUCAUAAAAUGGUUGUUCUUACGUUCCAAUUUUCUUUGCCAUUAAUUUAUCCAACUUCAGUUACUACCUCUCUCUCUCGCCUCUUAUCUUCGUCAAAGUUAAACCCCCUCAAAUGAGAUUGACAUAAAAAAGGGCAGAUAAUCACUACUCAAGAAGAUAGAGAACAAGAACUUAACGGCUAAAAGAGACUGUCACAGUGGAAGAUCAACUUUAUAGGUCGCAUGUUUAAUGAAAUUUAUCUUAGACAGGAAAAUUUUAGAAGGGAAGGAAGAAGAGGUGGUGGAGGAACUUUUUGAGAUAGCGAGGAUGCUCUGGAGUUAAAGAAAUUAAUGACUUUUUGAAUGGUAAUACAAACUGCCCGGUGUGAUGGCCAAAGAGGCCAUAUGUUUUGUUGCAAGACUACAAGACCUGUAACGAUCUAAUUGCACAUAAGAAUCCACCAAUCAAUAAAAAACAACCUCCUCAAGAGAUGUCCUUGAUGAUAAAUUUUGAUGGAGCAAUUUUUAUAGAACAAAGCACAUUGGGAGCAGGAGUUUUUAUUCGAGAUGAUAAUCGGUACCUCAUUGCAGCAUUGAGUUGCAAAGGGAGAGCAAUUAUGGAUUAGGAGGAGGCAGAACUAGCAGCAAUUGGCUAGGCCACUAGGCUAUUAAUUUUGCAAUUGGAAUAGGUGCAAGAGAUAUCAUCUUAGAGGGAGAUUUAGCAAAUGUUAUUGACAAGCUAUGAUCUGAGGAGGAAGAUAAUUCAUGCUGGGAGCUAUGGUGGAGGAAGCAAUACUAAGAAUGAAUCUAUUCAAGCCAUGGAAGGAAAGCUAUUCUAGGUGAGAGGCAAAUCAACAUGCAUAUGUAUUGGUAUGGCUUGCUUAUUGAUUGGCUAAACACUGAUGUAAUGAAUAUGAAUAGUAUUUAAUACAAGUUAUAUUUGAUUAGUUUAAGGGGGAAAAAAAAAGAAGAAGAGACCAAUACCCCAACAUACUAUCUCUCUCUAAAAUGCUUCCAAAGAAGAAAAUUUUCAGUUGUUCCAUAUACUCAAUGGUGGUUUUGAUAUAUGAUUCUAUUUGUUCCACUUUGUAUGUCA